rnacentral:rRNA from 1 species
AGGGUUUGAUCCUGGCUCAGAUUGAACGCUGGCGGCAGGCCUAACACAUGCAAGUCGAGCGGUAACAGGGGUAGCUUGCUACCCGCUGACGAGCGGCGGACGGGUGAGUAAUGCAUAGGAAUCUGCCCGAUAGUGGGGGAUAACCUGGGGAAACCCAGGCUAAUACCGCAUACGUCCUACGGGAGAAAGGGGGCUUUGGCUCCCGCUAUUGGAUGAGCCUAUGUCGGAUUAGCUAGUUGGUAAGGUAAUGGCUUACCAAGGCAACGAUCCGUAGCUGGUCUGAGAGGAUGAUCAGCCACAUCGGGACUGAGACACGGCCCGAACUCCUACGGGAGGCAGCAGUGGGGAAUAUUGGACAAUGGGGGCAACCCUGAUCCAGCCAUGCCGCGUGUGUGAAGAAGGCCCUCGGGUUGUAAAGCACUUUCAGCGAGGAAGAACGCCUGUCGGUUAAUACCCGGUAGGAAAGACAUCACUCGCAGAAGAAGCACCGGCUAACUCCGUGCCAGCAGCCGCGGUAAUACGGAGGGUGCAAGCGUUAAUCGGAAUUACUGGGCGUAAAGCGCGCGUAGGUGGCUUGAUAAGCCGGUUGUGAAAGCCCCGGGCUCAACCUGGGAACGGCAUCCGGAACUGUCAGGCUAGAGUGCAGGAGAGGAAGGUAGAAUUCCCGGUGUAGCGGUGAAAUGCGUAGAGAUCGGGAGGAAUACCAGUGGCGAAGGCGGCCUUCUGGACUGACACUGACACUGAGGUGCGAAAGCGUGGGUAGCAAACAGGAUUAGAUACCCUGGUAGUCCACGCCGUAAACGAUGUCGACCAGCCGUUGGGUGCCUAGAGCACUUUGUGGCGAAGUUAACGCGAUAAGUCGACCGCCUGGGGAGUACGGCCGCAAGGUUAAAACUCAAAUGAAUUGACGGGGGUCGGC